rnacentral:rRNA from 1 species
AGUGAACGCUGGCGGUAGGCCUAACACAUGCAAGUCGAACGGCAGCACAGUAAGAGCUUGCUCUUACGGGUGGCGAGUGGCGGACGGGUGAGGAAUACAUCGGAAUCUACUUUUUCGUGGGGGAUAACGUAGGGAAACUUACGCUAAUACCGCAUACGACCUACGGUUGAAAGCAUGGGAUCUUCUGACCUUGCGCGAUUGAAUUAGCCGAUGUCGGAUUAGCUAGUUGGCGGGGUAAAGGCCCACCAAGGCGACGAUCCGUAGCUGGUCUGAGAGGAUGAUCAGCAACACUGGAACUGAGACACGGUCCAGACUCCUACGGGAGGCAGCAGUGGGGAAUAUUGGACAAUGGGCGCAAGCCUGAUCCAGCCAUACCGCGUGGGUGAAGAAGGCCUUCGGGUUGUAAAGCCCUUUUGUUGGGAAAGAAAAGCAGCAGGUUAAUACCCCGCUGUUCUGACGGUACCCAAAGAAUAAGCACCGGCUAACUUCGUG